UGAGGAAUAUUGGUCAAUGGCCGGGAGGCUGAACCAGCCAAGUCGCGUGAGGGAAGACGGCCCUACGGGUUGUAAACCUCUUUUGUCAGGGAGCAAGAGGCGGGUCGGGACCUGCUGUGAGAGUACCUGAAGAAAAAGCAUCGGCUAACUCCGUGCCAGCAGCCGCGGUAAUACGGAGGAUGCGAGCGUUAUCCGGAUUUAUUGGGUUUAAAGGGUGCGCAGGCGGAGGCACAAGUCAGCGGUAAAAUCGCGGGGCUCAACCCCGCUCCGCCGUUGAAACUGUGUCCCUUGAGUGCGCGAAGG
rnacentral:rRNA from 1 species